rnacentral:rRNA from 1 species
UGAUCAGCCACACUGGGACUGAGACACUGCCCAGACUCCUACGGGAGGCUGCAGUCGAGGAUCAUUCGCAAUGCGCGAAAGCGUGACGAUGCGACGCUGCGUGGAGGAUGAAGGCCCUCGGGUCGUAAACUCCUGUCAUUCGGGAAAAACGACCUCCGGGAUAAUACCCUGGAGGAGUGAUGGUACCGAAAGAGGAAGCCACGGCUAACUCUGUGCCAGCAGCCGCGGUAAUACAGAGGUGGCGAGCGUUGUUCGGAUUUACUGGGCGUAAAGCGUACGUAGGUGGUAUCGUGUGUCGGGUGUGAAAGCCCACGGCUCAACCGUGGAACUGCAUUCGAAACUACGGAACUAGAGUACAGGAGGGGAGAGCGGAAUUCUUGGUGUAGGGGUGAAAUGCGUUGAUAUCAAGAAGAACACCGGUGGCGAAGGCGGCUCUCUGGAAUGUUACUGACACUGAGGUACGAAAGCUGGGGGAGCGAACAGGAUUAGAUACCCUGGUAGUCCCAGCCGUAAACGGUGUGCACUUGGUGUUGGCGGAUUUGACCCCGCCAGUGCCGGAGCUAACGCGUUAAGUGCACCGCCUGGGGAGUACGGCCGCAAGGCUAAAACUCAAAGAAAUUGACGGGGGCCCGCACAAGCGGAGGAGCAUGUGGCUUAAUUCGAUGCAACGCGAAGAACCUUACCUGGGCUUGACAUGAUACUGCACGCCCCGUGAAAGCGGGGUUCCUUCGAGGGUGUAUCACAGGUGCUGCAUGGCUGUCGUCAGUUCGUGCCGUGAGGUGUUGGGUUAAGUCCCGCAACGAACGCAACCCCUGUGGUUAGUUGCCACUUUCGGUGAUGAGCCGAGAAGCACUCUAGCCAGACUGCCUGUACAAGCAGGAGGAAGGUGGGGACGACGUCAAGUCAGUAUGGCCCUUACGCCCAGGGCUGCACACGUGCUACAAUGGUCGGUACAGAGGGCUGCAAAGCCGCGAGGUGGAGCUAAUCCCCAAAGCCGGCCCCAGUUCGGAUUGGAGUCUGCAACUCGACUCCAUGAAGUUGGAUUCGCUAGUAAUGGCGCAUCAGCUACGGCGCCGUGAAUACGUUCCCGGGCCUUGUACACACCGCCCGUCACAUCAUGAAAGCCGUCUGCACCCGAAGUCGCUGAGCUAACCCGCAAGGGAGGCAGGUGCCGAAGGUGUGGGUGGUGAUUGGGAUGAAGUCGAAACAAGGUA